UAUUGGAAGCUUGCUUCCGAUAGGCGUCGACCGGCGCACGGGUGAGUAACGCGUAUCCAACCUGCCCAUCACUUGGGGAUAACCUUGCGAAAGUAAGACUAAUACCCAAUGAUAUCUCUAGAAGACAUCUGAAAGAGAUUAAAGAUUUAUCGGUGAUGGAUGGGGAUGCGUCUGAUUAGCUUGUUGGCGGGGUAACGGCCUACCAAAGCAACGAUCAGUAGCCGGCUUGAGAGAGUGAACGGCCACAUUGGGACUGAGACACGGCCCAAACUCC
rnacentral:rRNA from 1 species